rnacentral:rRNA from 1 species
UACGUAGGGGGCGAGCGUUGUCCGGAUUUACUGGGCGUAAAGCGCGUGUAGGCGGCUGCUUAAGUCGGGUGUGAAAGCCCGGGGCUCAACCCCGGGAUGCCGCCCGAGACUGGCGGCUUGAGGUCGAAAGAGGGGAGUGGAAUUCCAGGUGUAGCGGUGAAAUGCGUAGAGAUCUGGAGGAACACCCGUGGCGAAGGCGGCUCCCUGGUCCGAUUCUGACGCUGAGACGCGAAAGCGCGGGGAGCGAACGGG